AGCGAACGCUGGCGGCAGGCUUAACACAUGCAAGUCGAGCGGGCAUAGCAAUAUGUCAGCGGCAGACGGGUGAGUAACGCGUGGGAACGUACCUUUUGGUUCGGAACAACUGAGGGAGACUUCAGCUAAUACCGGAUAAGCCCUUACGGGGAAAGAUUUAUCGCCGAAAGAUCGGCCCGCGUCUGAUUAGCUAGUUGGUGAGGUAAUGGCUCACCAAGGCGACGAUCAGUAGCUGGUCUGAGAGGAUGAUCAGCCACAUUGGGACUGAGACACGGCCCAAACUCCUACGGGAGGCAGCAGUGGGGAAUAUUGGACAAUGGGCGCAAGCCUGAUCCAGCCAUGCCGCGUGAGUGAUGAAGGCCCUAGGGUUGUAAAGCUCUUUUGUGCGGGAAGAUAAUGACGGUACCGCAAGAAUAAGCCCCGGCUAACUUCGUG
rnacentral:rRNA from 1 species